GACGAACGCGGCGGCGUGCUUAACACAUGCAAGUCGAACGGAGCGAAUGAAAGCUUGCUUUUAUAAGCUUAGUGGCAAACGGGUGAGUAACACGUAGGCAACCUGCCGACAGGAUGGGGACAACAUUCCGAAAGGAAUGCUAAUACCGAAUGAAGCGCAGGGGAGGCAUCUCUCCUGCGUGAAAGAUGGCCUCUAUAUAUAAGCUAUCACCUGUCGAUGGGCCUGCGUCUGAUUAGCUGGUAGGUGAGGUAACGGCUCACCUAGGCGACGAUCAGUAGCCGGUCUGAGAGGAUGAACGGCCACAUUGGGACUGAGACACGGCCCAGACUCCUACGGGAGGCAGCAGUGGGGAAUCUUCCGCAAUGGGCGCAAGCCUGACGGAGCAACGCCGCGUGAGUGAAGAAGGUCUUCGGAUCGUAAAGCUCUGUUGAUGGGGACGAACGUGCCUAAUGCGAAUAGUAUUAGGUAAUGACGGACCCAUCAAGAG
rnacentral:rRNA from 1 species